CCUACGGGAGGCUGCAGUGAGGAAUAUUGGUCAAUGGGCGCGAGCCUGAACCAGCCAAGUAGCGUGAAGGAUGACUGCCCUACGGGUUGUAAACUUCUUUUCUCAGGGACGAAGAAAGUGACGGUACCUGAAGAAAAAGCAUCGGCUAACUCCGUGCCAGCAGCCGCGGUAAUACGGAGGAUGCGAGCGUUAUCCGGAUUUAUUGGGUUUAAAGGGUGCGCAGGCGGCCUGUUAAGUCAGCGGUAAAAGCCCGGGGCUCAACCCCGGCGAGCCGUUGAAACUGGCGGGCUGGAGUUGGAGAGAACUACGCGGAAUGCGCGGUGUAGCGGUGAAAUGCUUAGAUAUCGCGCAGAACCCCGAUUGCGAAGGCAGCGUACCGGCUCCACACUGACGCUGAGGCACGAAAGCGUGGGUAUCGAACAGGAUUAGAAACCCUGGUAGUC
rnacentral:rRNA from 1 species